rnacentral:rRNA from 1 species
GAUGAACGCUGGCGGCGUGCCUAAUACAUGCAAGUCGAGCGAACGGACGAGAAGCUUGCUUCUCUGAUGUUAGCGGCGGACGGGUGAGUAACACGUGGAUAACCUACCUAUAAGACUGGGAUAACUUCGGGAAACCGGAGCUAAUACCGGAUGAUAUUUUGAACCGCAUGGUUCAAAAGUGAAAGACGGCCUUGCUGUCACUUAUAGAUGGAUCCGCGCUGCAUUAGCUAGUUGGUAAGGUAGCGGCUUACCAAGGCAACGAUGCAUAGCCGACCUGAGAGGGUGAUCGGCCACACUGGAACUGAGACACGGUCCAGACUCCUACGGGAGGCAGCAGUAGGGAAUCUUCCGCAAUGGGCGAAAGCCUGACGGAGCAACGCCGCGUGAGUGAUGAAGGUCUUCGGAUCGUAAAACUCUGUUAUUAGGGAAGAACAUAUGUGUAAGUAACUGUGCACAUCUUGACGGUACCUAAUCAGAAAGCCACGGCUAACUACGUG